rnacentral:lncRNA from 10 species
CUGUCUGAUCAUACUGUACUGAAAUUAAUUCUUGGAAUGUCUGUCUUCCCCUAGACUAUAAGCCUCUCUGGGCAAGAUCCACGUCUUACUCAUUUUUGUGUCUGCAGUUUAGUUCCUGGUUCAUUGUAGGUUCUCAAUAAACGUUUGUUAGAAUGAGUUGAUCUCUUGGAUCCAGUGCCCCAGAAAGAUAUGUAAGUACUAUUUUUAUCCUUUCCCAUUGUGUGUCCACCUUCUCUCCAAUCCUAGAUCACCAAAAGUGAAGCAGAAGUGAUGAGAGUAGCAAUUUGUAGUAUCAAAACGACUUCUUAUAGUGCACAGAAAGCCCAGCACUGUCUCGUAUGGGAGACUCGUGGUUCUGCCACUGUCUUGCUGGGUGACCUGAGAUAACUUCUUUUCUCUCUGGGUCUGAUUCCUCACAGGUCAUUUCCACUGCUGCCCACUGAGGAGUGCCACUGGAGAUGAUCUCACAACAAAGAGAGGGGGAGAGGUCCCUGGCCCUCCCCUUUCCUCUGUGCUCUCAGCAGCUGACCUUGUCUUUUCCUUUACUGAGAGUAGAGGCACCUCUUACAAAUACUCUGGCCUCUGCCUGGACUGACUGGGCUAAAUUGUCUCCGAAGAUGGCCACCAACCAUUCCUCCCACCUGUCUGCAUGCAGGCUGCUCCUCCCGUCAGAAGAUGGAGACUGCUUCCUUGCCCUUCAAUCCAAGCUGGCUCAUGACUUGCUUCAAUGAAUAGGAAAUGGCAGAAGUGAUGCUCUGAGGCUUCUGGGCCUAGACUUUAAGAGGUGUUGCCCCUUUCCUUUUUCCCUCUUGGGAUCCAGCCUACCACAUAGAGAAGUUUGGGUUGACAACUAAAUGUGAGAGAGAGACAGACAGAGAGAAGAGGGAGAGCUGAUUCAGCUAGACCUUAGUCAUUCCAGCCAUCCUAGCUGAAGCACUAGCAUGUGAAAGAAGCCACCUUCUAACCUAUCAAUCAGAGCCCCCAAUUUUACUGACCUCAGUCAACACCAUGUGGAACAGAACUACCCCAGGGAGCCCAACCAACCCAUACAAUCAUGAGAAAUUAAAAACUGAUGUUGUAGCCUCCUGAGUUUUAAGGUAGUUUGUUACACAAAAAUACUGGAAUUUUGACCCACCUUCACCUCCAAUGCCAACCUAGUAAACCUGGAUAUAUCUUUCAAA